rnacentral:rRNA from 1 species
UACGGGGGGGGCAAGCGUUGUUCGGAAUUACUGGGCGUAAAGGGCUCGUAGGUGGCCAACUAAGUCGGACGUGAAAUCCCUCAGCUUAACUGGGGAACUGCGUCCGAUACUGGAUGGCUCGAGUUUGGGAGAGGGAUGCGGAAUUCCAGGUGUAGCGGUGAAAUGCGUAGAUAUCUGGAGGGACACCGGUGGCGAAGGCGGCAUCCUGGACCAACACUGACACUGAGGAGCGAAAGCCAGGGGAGCAAACGGG